rnacentral:rRNA from 4 species
CAAAUGACUCUCGGCAACGGAUAUCUCGGCUCACGCAUCGAUGAAGAACGUAGCAAAAUGCGAUACUUGGUGUGAAUUGCAGAAUCCCGUGAACCAUCGAGUUUUUGAACGCAAGUUGCGCCCAAAGCCUUUUGGUUGAGGGCACGUCUGCCUGGGCGUCACAC